GUAGGUGGCAAGCGUUGUCCGGAAUUAUUGGGCGUAAAGCGCGCGCAGGCGGUUCUUUAAGUCUGAUGUGAAAGCCCACGGCUCAACCGUGGAGGGUCAUUGGAAACUGGAGAACUUGAGUACAGAAGAGGAAAGCGGAAUUCCACGUGUAGCGGUGAAAUGCGUAGAGAUGUGGAGGAACACCAGUGGCGAGGGCGGCUUUCUGGUCUGUAACUGACGCUGAUGCGCGAAAGCGUGGGGAGCAAACAGGAUUAGAUACCCUGGUAGUCCACGCCGUAAACGAUGAGUGCUAAGUGUUAGGGGGUUUCCGCCCCCCUUAGUGCUGCAGCUAACGCAUUAAGCACUCCGCCUGGGAGUACGGCCGCAAGGCUG
rnacentral:rRNA from 1 species